CAGGGUUGGUGGUGGCCCUUGGCCCUGAUGGAUCCUCACAACACUGAUUGAUGCUUACAUCCCAAUCCUGUGUUGCUCCAAAGUCGAGACAUCUUGAGCAAGGUGUCCUUUAACUCUUGCUGAGCGUUGAGAAGAUUCCCCUCUCAGGCCACCCCAGCACUCUCAAAUGGAACUUUUUUCUUUUCAAGUAACCUCUCCAGGAUGCAAAAAGGAAAGAUAUGCAACAUCACACCCACACGGAGGAGUGUCCUCUCCACCGGCACUAUCUCCUCUCUGGCCCGAUGACAGAAGGGUUGUUGGUUCAGCAUCUUGUGGAUAAGACAGCUACGGUGGAAGCAGCUGAGCAACCACAUCCGUGAGGAAAACAAGAGAGCUUCACGCAUAUCUAGAGGGAACAUCUGGGCUAUUGUCAGCAACUUACAAGCAUUUACCUAAUUGCAGUUUUGAAUGAAAUUGUCCAUCAUAAAAGAUGCCUCAAGACUGUUGAUGUUGGGCGUCCCUCCGCAGCCGCCGCGGCGUACGCCCGCAUCAUUUGUCUUAAUUUUAUUUCAGCGUAGCUAACUGGAGACCCCACUUCAGAAAUAUUCCGAGUUUAGUUUUAAUUGUAGGGCUUUCAACUCACGCAACAUUUCUCUUUUGUGUUGAAAGCAUCACGGUGAUUUAUCCUCAUUAUUGUGUAAAUAGGUUUCGGCAGUUCUCAGUAAAUAAAACAAAGAGUGACAGGAGGAGAAGGGGGAAUUUGCUUUCCUACCAAUUAGAGUAGCCUUAGGCAGUACUUUUAAGAGGAGAUAAAUCCUGCAAAUCACUAAAAUGAUCCUGUCACAUGCACCAAAUAUUAAAAUCACACAGCGGCGCACUUCAUACAGUUUGCUUUGGUUUAAUGAGUUGGGGUGGGCUUCGUCAUGAGGUUUGCAUCUCGCAGUUGGGGACUGUUGAUUGACAGUGAAGAUCAUGCCCAACUGCAGCUUCCUAACCAGUAGGGCCAGAUGGAAAAUCACAAUUCAUGUUUAAUAUGCAGGUUUUCAGCUAAAGAAAAUUCCCAAUUUGUCUCCUCACCUCCUACCUGAAAAUUUUCCCCAUAAUAAAUGCAAAAUAUGCUCCACAUUAGCCAAGAAUGGGGUUUUUACACACACCCCACACUCCCCUUCCAGCAA